AUACGGAGGGGGCUAGCGUUGUUCGGAAUUACUGGGCGUAAAGCGUACGUGGGCGGACUGAUCAGUUGGGGGUGAAAUCCCAGGGCUUAACCCUGGAACUGCCUUCAAUACUGUCAGUCUUGAGAUUGGAAGAGGUGAGUGGAAUUCCUAGUGUAGAGGUGAAAUUCAUAGAUAUUAGGAGGAACACCAGUGGCGAAGGCGGCUCACUGGUCCAAUACUGACGCUGAGGUACGAAAGCGUGGGGAGCAAACAGGAUUAGAAACCCCAGUAGUCC
rnacentral:rRNA from 1 species